UACAGAGAGUGCAAACGUUGUUCGGAAUUACUGGGCUUAAAGCGCACGUAGGCGGCAUCGCAAGUGUGAGGUGAAAUCCCACGGCUUACCCGUGGAACUGCCUGGCAGACUGCGAUGCUCGAGUGUGGUAGGGGAGAGCGGAACUCCUGGUGGAGCGGUGAAAUGCGUAGAUAUCAGGAGGAACACCGGUGGCGAAGGCGGCUCUCUGGUCCACAACUGACGCUGAGGUGCGAAAGCUAGGGGAGCAAACGGG
rnacentral:rRNA from 1 species